CACCGUUGACGUCAUCAAGCCAUUGAUGGCUGAAGGAUGAUCCCUUGAAGCACACCACAACACCCUCCCUUUUUCUUUCUCUCUGCCUCAGCCCUCAGGCGACAAGCAAAAACAAGGGCCCAGAUGUGGUUCUCUUUUUUUCUCUAUCUUCCUCUCCAUGCGUGUCUCAUUCUCAGGUCUACCGAUUGAAUGAUGAUGGAAAAUGGGAUGAUCAAGGUUGGGCAUGUCACUCUUGACAAUUUGGAGUCUCUGUGUUGGAUAAUUUUCACACCAAUAAGGGUCACGUAUAUGUUUAGAUCAUUGGUGUUCAA